rnacentral:rRNA from 1 species
AACGAACGCUGGCGGCAUGCCUAACACAUGCAAGUCGAACGAGGCCUUCGGGUCUAGUGGCGCACGGGUGCGUAACGCGUGGGAACCUGCCCUUAGGUUCGGAAUAACUCCCCGAAAGGGGUGCUAAUACCGGAUAAUGUCUUCGGACCAAAGAUUUAUCGCCUUUGGACGGGCCCGCGUUGGAUUAGCUAGUUGGUAGGGUAAAAGCCUACCAAGGCGACGAUCCAUAGCUGGUCUGAGAGGAUGAUCAGCCACACUGGGACUGAGACACGGCCCAGACUCCUACGGGAGGCAGCAGUGGGGAAUAUUGGACAAUGGGCGAAAGCCUGAUCCAGCAAUGCCGCGUGAGUGAUGAAGGCCUUAGGGUUGUAAAGCUCUUUUACCCGGGAUGAUAAUGACAGUACCGGGAGAAUAAGCUCCGGCUAACUCCGUG